rnacentral:rRNA from 1 species
GACGGGGGAUGCGAGCGUUAUCCGGAAUCAUUGGGCGUAAAGCGUCCGCAGGUGGCAGUUCAAGUCUGCUGUCAAAGACUGGGGCUUAACCCUAGAAAGGCAGUGGAAACUGAACAGCUAGAGUGCGGUAGGGGUAGAGGGAAUUCCCGGUGUAGCGGUGAAAUGCGUAGAGAUCGGGAAGAACACCAGUGGCGAAAGCGCUCUGCUGGACCUGCACUGACACUGAGGGACGAAAGCUAGGGGAGCGAAUGGG